AGUCGCUAACUGCUCGGUGUGUUGGUAGCAUUGCGAAAACUGAAAUCCGAAAUUUAUUUAAAUAUUUUAAUGUUGUUUUUAUCAAAAGUUUUUUGUUUGUUUGUUUGCGUGCGUUGUUUAACUAUUGAAGUUCAUUAGGAUUGCCUUAUUUACUCACAGCAGAACCAAAAUGCCUCCAGGUAAAAACACCGUGCACGCUAAUGGAUGGUCCUAUAGUGGUUCGAACAGUAAGUUAAUUUCUAGUCUUAACUGUUUUACAGUCAGCGGUUUCACUGUCUUGCAGUCAAAAGUACACAGUUGCUCCCCUAACAAGUCCCAUAACACGUUCAACUAUGGAACCAAUAUCACCGUGAUACUAUAGAUCUCUGUCAUACAACAAACGAUGUCAAUAAGCUAUGGACAUCUGAUUAGUAAUUUUUUAAUUUUUUUUUAUUGCUUACAUGGUUGGACUGGCUCACAGCCCACCUGGUGUUAAGUGGUUACUGGAGCCCAUAGACAUAAAAAGAAUAAUAGCAAUGCUAUUACUUGAAAUUAGUUUUAAAAGGGGAAUCUGGAAGUCAUUGGAUACUAUCUGGAUAUAAUUCCAUAGGGAAUCUUAAAAUAAAACCCCGAAAACCAGUUUUAAGCUAUAGAGGAUUCUGUUUUUUCCUAGACGACAAGGCGUUAGCAGCAAGAGUCUACCACCCAGCAACAAAUCUAGUUCCGUUAACCCCACCAGCGCUGCCAACGGGCAUGGCCCCAAGCUUCUCCUCGAGACCUACCUCUUUCUCUGGGAGUUGGAGCCGGCAGAACAGUACGAAAAACUCUUGACAGCGAUACAGAGGAAUACUAGCUACGUUGGACAUCAGAGGAAAAACUAGAGCGCGUUUACCAUGAGCGCUUUGAAGGACUUAGUGUAUAAGCAAGGAUAAUGAUUACGAGAAAGGACGUAGAUAUAUUUAGGGGUGGAUGUUUGGAACAGGCGCUCACAGGAACCAUUGUCCUGCAAUGAAUAUGCCUUUCAAUCUGCAUUAAAAUCCUUGCGAUGAAAAUUUGCAUGGUUCGGUCCAUACGAAAAUAGAUAGUCUAGGUGACCAUUUUGAGGAACAUUUAUAGUCGUUCUGAUACUUUUAACUAAUAAGUUUACACACCAUUUACCAUUGACUUACUAUUGCAAGUCAAUGGUAAAUGGUGACCGUCACCCUUAUAAGAUGGUAGAUCGUCAUGAGAUGACGCAAAGGCUUUAAAUUUCUCUCAAUUUAUUUUAAGCCGCCAUAAAAUUGUUUAGGUACAUUACAAUAUUUUUUUGUAAGUUUAUAAAUAACAAUAAUAUGCACUAUCUAAUAUUAUGUAUUAAUAAUUAAGAUAACAAAAUGAUGUUGUUAUUAUUGUUAAAAAUAACUGAUCAUGGACUAUCCAUGUAUACUGUGAUGACUGAAUAAUAAUAAUGUGAAACAA